UGCCUACGGGGGGCAGCAGUGGGGAAUCUUCCGCAAUGGACGAAAGUCUGACGGAGCAACGCCGCGUGUACGACGAAGGCCUUCGGGUUGUAAAGUACUGUCUUCAGGGACGAACGGUGAGGGUGUGAAUAAUGCCUUCACAUGACGGUACCUGAGGAGGAAGCCCCGGCUAACUACGUGCCAGCAGCCGCGGUAAUACGUAGGGGGCAAGCGUUGUCCGGAAUCAUUGGGCGUAAAGGGCGCGUAGGCGGAUAAUUAAGUCUGGUGUGAAAACCUAGGGCUCAACCCUGGGACUGCAUCGGAAACUGGUUAUCUUGAGGACAGGAGAGGAAAGUGGAAUUCCACGUGUAGCGGUGAAAUGCGUAGAUAUGUGGAGGAACACCAGUGGCGAAGGCGACUUUCUGGACUGUAACUGACGCUGAGGCGCGAAAGCGUGGGGAGCAAACAGGAUUAGAUACCCUGGUAGUCUG
rnacentral:rRNA from 1 species